UGGCCUAUCAAAUGAGUACUCGUGCGCGCACUGCUCUCGCCCACCAUUUCAGCAUGGCACGUAUAUAUGAGCUGCUACUUCCCAUACCUGGCUGAAAAAAGCGUGCGGUGCUCGCAGUAAUACACAUUUCGUUUGCAAAGUGCACGCAGUGGUAGAAAGCUUAAGUGGAUAAUAUUGACCCAGCCGCACACAACGAACACAAUGAAGGCGCACUGCAUAAUCGCUGCUGUCGCGCUUGUGGUGAUUUCAGACAUGGCGAAGUCGUCUACGAUUAGAACUGAUGUGCCGCGGCGUAACCUGUGCCCAUUGUUCCUGAUCCCCGAAGGCGGCUGCACUGAUCCACCCAGCAACGUGACAUGUCGGGACCUGCGUUGCGAUGAACACCAGCAAGAAUGCUGCAGCAGGGCCUGCGGUGGGAAAUUCUGCUUCGGCGUACGGGUCGGUGACGAUUUGACUCACGAAAGCCAAUAAAACAAAUUGUGCUGCGUACC